GAGGAUCAUUUCAGUACAUAGCACACAAAGGAAGCAACGCAGUUGAUCAUUUGUUUGCUUUGAUGUCUCAUGUACCAUAGCGUUUUCGUAAUUAAAACCAACGAGAAACCAGCCUCAGCUUCUAAAUAUAUGACGGGAAUUGUUUUCCGCAUUUGGAACCGAUUUUGAUCAUCGCCGAUUACCAGCUUCGCUGCCGAUCGAAGCUAGGGUUUCUGAAUUUCUUUCCAGUUUUCAUUUUUUUCUUCAAAAAACACGAUGGAGGUGUGGCCGUUCCAUGACGGCAACGUGCACAAUCUACUCGAGAACAGGCACAUCGACAUUGGUCACGAUGUUGGUCAUAGUUUGCAGAUGCAUUCUUCUCUAAUUCGUAGGCUCUCAAUGGAACAAGAAUUGGAGGGACAUCAGGGUUGUGUAAAUGCUGUGGCUUGGAAUUCAGACGGUUCACUUCUGAUUUCUGGUUCUGAUGAUGAACAGAUUAAUAUUUGGAGCUACUCUGGUCGAAAGCUUUUGCAUUCUAUAGAGACAGGACAUUCUGCUAAUAUAUUCUGUACAAAAUUCAUUCCUCAAACUUCUGAUGAUCUUGUAGUCUCUGGAGCUGGAGAUGCGGAGGUUCGAUCAUUUAUUUUGUCCCGCUUAAAUGAGAGAGGGCUCAAUGAUGGUGCUGUUACGCCAUCAGCACUUUAUAGGUGUCACACAAGAAGAGUUAAAAAACUAGCGGUUGAAGCUGGAAACCCCAAUAUGGUAUGGAGUGCAAGUGAAGAUGGAACUCUUAGACAGCAUGACUUUCGAGAGGGCACUUCUUGUCCUCCGGCUGGAUCUUCUCACCAAGAAUGUCGUAGUGUUCUACUUGACUUGCGUGGUGGGGCAAAGAAAUCACUAGCUGAUCCUCCUAGACAUACUCUGGCCUUGAAAUCCUGUGAUAUCAGUUCUACUAGACCUCAUUUACUACUUGUUGGUGGGAGUGAUGCAUUUGCUCGUCUAUAUGAUAGAAGGAUGCUGCCACCAUUGACCUCCUGCCGGAAAAGAAUGUUACCGCCUACUUGCGUUAAUUAUUUCUGCCCAAUGCAUCUUUCUGACCGUGGACGCUCAAGUUUGCACUUAACUCAUGUUACAUUCAGUCCUAAUGGAGAAGAGGUUCUACUUAGCUAUAGUGGGGAGCAUGUAUAUCUAAUGGACAUAAAUCAUGCUAGUGCGAGUUUAAUGCAAUAUACCUCGGGAGAUGCUUCAAAAUUGAUGACCUUCACUCCUGUGCUAAAUAAACUAGAGCACCAACAACCUCUUUCCAGUGCCUUCAAAAAUGGUCUCCGGAGUAGAAGCAACACUGCUGCUAGAAUUGAAAAAUGCAGGAUGUUGGUUGAAAUUGCUAAAAGAUUCUUAGAUGAGGAGAUAAAUAUUUUCCAUGCAAUUGAGGCAUGCAAUGAAGUCUUGGAUGGACAUGGAAGUGAUAUUGGGCCCACACUAAGGCUUGAAUGUUUUUGUACACGUGCUGCCUUGUUGCUUAAGCGGAAGUGGAAAAACGAUGCCCAUAUGGCCAUUAGAGAUUGCAAUAAUGCUAGAAGAAUAGACAGUUCUUCCUUUAGAGCUCAUUAUUUAAUGGCUGAGGCUUUAGAACAGUUGGGAAAACAUAAAGAGGCAUUAGACUUUGCUGUUCCAGCACAAUGUUUAUCUCCAUAUGAUACUAUGGCAGCUGAGAAAGUGGAGAACAUAAGAAAACAUCUUGCUGCAGCCGAGGCUGAGAAAAGUAACAAGGCAAGUAAUGGCGCACCUAGGCCUGAACCUCGAACUGGAAGGGUAUUGUCAUUGACUGACAUACUCUACCGCUCAGAAGCUAACAGUGAUGCUUUACAAGAUGGUCAAAGACCUGAAAGAGAAGACUCUGAUUUUGAUGAGGAGCUGGAAUUCGAUUUCGAGACUUCAAUAUCAGGUGAUGAAGGGCAUGAUGUAGUAUCUAACAUGUUACAUGGAAGUGUAAAUCUUAGAAUUCAUCGAAGAGGUGAUUCAACAAAAGAAACUGGUGCAUAUGGUUCGCGUGGAUCUCCAUCCUCAUCAUCUCAAAAUGGAGCGGCUUAUCAGCCCGAGGCAGUUAUUGAUAUGAAGAAGAGAUAUGUUGGUCACUGCAAUGUUGGAACUGACAUCAAGCAAGCGAGUUUCCUUGGUCAGAGAGGUGAAUUUGUCGCUAGCGGUAGUGAUGAUGGAAGGUGGUUCAUUUGGGAAAAGAAGACUGGAAGAUUGAUAAAAAUGCUUCUUGGAGAUGAUGCUGUUGUAAACUGUGUUCAGUGCCAUCCAUUUGAUUGCUUUGUGGCAACCAGUGGAAUUGACAACACUAUAAAGCUAUGGACUCCUACUGCUGCUGUCCCAUCAUUGGUUGCCGGUGGGUCAGCAGGGCCUGAAGCUGCAAAUGUGUUAGAGGUUAUGGAAAGUAAUCAACGCAAAUUAUGUUGUAAUCGUGAAGCUUUUCUGCCCUUUGAACUUUUGGAACAUUUUCGGAUGCAUGAAUUUUCUGAAGGAUCCUUGCAACCAUUUGAGUGUGCACAGAGCUAGCCAGCUUCUUAGCUCUUAUAAAAGCUUGCAGGGGGGUUUUUUUUCCUAUUACACAUGACCGUUGUAUUUGGCUUGAUUUUUGUCCCUGAAUAAACAAAUACUCUGUGCUGGGCGAAUCUGUGGUUUUGAAAAACAGCAGUGUGCAAAAUCAUAAAGGAGAAGAGGAGGUAGAUCGAACUUUUAGGGAUUUGCCACAAGUAAAGUUUACAACAUG